UACAGAGGGGGCAAGCGUUGUUCGGAAUUACUGGGCGUAAAGGGCGCGUAGGCGGCCUUCUAAGUCGAACGUGAAAUCCCCGGGCUCAACCCGGGAACUGCGACCGAGACUGAAAGGCUUGAAUCCGGGAGAGGGAUGUGGAAUUCCAGGUGUAGCGGUGAAAUGCGUAGAUAUCUGGAGGAACAUCGGUGGCGAAGGCGGCAUCCUGGACCGGUAUUGACGCUGAGGCGCGAAAGCCAGGGGAGCAAACGGG
rnacentral:rRNA from 1 species